AGGGAAUUGCCUAGUAACGGCGAGUGAAGCGGCAAAAGCUCAAAUUUGAAAUCUAGCACUUUCAGUGUUCGAGUUGUAAUUUGAAGAAGGUAACUUUGGUUUUGGCUCUUGUCUAUGUUCCUUGGAACAGGACGUCACAGAGGGUGAGAAUCCCGUGCGAUGAGAUGCCCAAUUCCAUGUAAAGUGCUUUCGAAGAGUCGAGUUGUUUGGGAAUGCAGCUCUAAGUGGGUGGUAAAUUCCAUCUAAAGCUAAAUAUUGGCGAGAGACCGAUAGCGAACAAGUACAGUGAUGGAAAGAUGAAAAGAACUUUGAAAAGAGAGUGAAAAAGUACGUGAAAUUGUUGAAAGGGAAGGGCUUGAGAUCAGACUUGGUAUUUUGCGUUCCCUUCCUUUUUGGUUGGGUUCCUCGCAGUUUACUGGGCCAGCAUCGGUUUGGAUGGUAGGAUAAUGACAUUGGAAUGUAGCUUUACUUCGGUGAAGUGUUAUAGACUUUGUUGAUACUGCCUAUCUAGACCGAGGACUGCGUCUUUGACUAGGAUGCUGG
rnacentral:rRNA from 1 species